rnacentral:rRNA from 1 species
CGUAGGGGGCCAGCGUUGUCCGGACUUACUGGGCGUAAAGCGCGCGCAGGUGGACGAGUAUGUGCCGUGUAAAAGCGCCGUCCUUACGAUGGUGGGGUCAUGGUAGACAGCUUGUCUAGAGGCUCAGAGAGGUUGAUGGAAUUCCGGGUGGAGCGGUGAAAUGCGUAGAUAUCCGGAGGAACACCAGGGGCGAAAGCGGUCAACUGGCUGAGUUCUGACACUGAGGCGCGACGGCGUGGGGAGCAAACCGGAUUAGAUACCCGGGUAGUCCACGCCGUAAACGAUGCACACCCGGUGUGGGGGCAGGAUUUCCUCCUGUCUCCGUGCCAAAGGUUACCUGAUGAGUGUGCCGCCUGGGGACUACGAGCGCAAGCUUA